rnacentral:misc_RNA from 1 species
AAAAAAAAAAAAAAAAAAAGCAGACCCACUUGAGCUUGCUUGGAUUGAAUGUUCAACAAAGCUCAAAAUUCACUACAGAAUGACUUAAAAAAAGAGUUUCAGGUUGGACAAGGAAUAAGCAAAGGGGUCUCCACUCUCCUGAAUUAGUGAAUUCUUCCUUGCAGGAACAGGAGAGGAAUCUUAACAGAGAAUUAAAACUAAAACAAUUGAAAAAAAAAUUAAGUUUAUUAAUUAAUUUACUUUUAAUCCGUUGCGUGGUAUUUAUUAAAAAAAGUUACUAAGAAUUAAUUAUAUGUAUAGAAAUGUAAAUGGGUGCAUGUGCAGAGUAAUGGGAUUGGAGGGUGUCAUGGAUGGAGUGUCG